CCUACGGGAGGCAGCAGUGAGGAAUAUUGGUCAAUGGGCGGGAGCCUGAACCAGCCAAGUCGCGUGAGGGAAGACGGUCCUAUGGAUUGUAAACCUCUUUAGGCGGGGACCAAUGCCGGGCACGUGUGCCCGGCGGCAGAGUACCCGCAGAAUAAGCCUCGGCUAACUCCGUGCCAGCAGCCGCGGUAAUCCGGAGGAUGCGAGCGUUAUCCGGAUUUAGUGGGUUUAAAGGGUGCGUAGGCGGAUAUUUAAGUGAGCGGUAAAAUGUCCGGGCUCAACCCGGGCCGGCCGUUGAAACUGGGGAUCUGGAGUGAGCGAGAAGUAGGCGGAAUGCGGGGUGUAGCGGUGAAAUGCGUAGAUAUCACGCAGAACUCCGAUUGCGAAGGCGGCAUGCCGGAGCGCGACUGACGCUGAGGCACGAAAGCGUGGGGAUCGAACAGGAUUAGAUACCCCAGUAGUC
rnacentral:rRNA from 1 species